CCUACGGGAGGCAGCAGUGAGGAAUAUUGGUCAAUGGGCGAGAGCCUGAACCAGCCAAGUCGCGUGAGGGAGUACUGCCCUAUGGGUUGUAAACCUCUUUUGUCGGGGAGCAAAAGCCGGACGUGUCCGGAUGUGAGAGUACCCGAAGAAAAAGCAUCGGCGAACUCAGGGCCAGCAGCCGCGGUAAUACGGAGGAUGCGAGGGUUAUCCGGAUUUAUUGGGGUAAAAGGGUGCGCAGGCGGAGUGUUAAGUCAGCGGGCAAAGCGUGGGGCUCAACCCCAUCCCGCCGUUGAAACUGGGGAUCUAGAGUGUGCGAGAGGUAUGCGGAAUGCGUGGUGUAGCGGUGAAAUGCAUAGAUAUCACGCAGAACCCCGAUGGCGAAGGCAGCAUACCGGUGCACAACUGACGUUCAGGCACGAAAGCGUGGGUAUCGAACAGGAUUAGAUACCCGAGUAGUC
rnacentral:rRNA from 1 species